GUUCACACACACACACACACACACACACACACACACACACACACACACACACACACACACACACACACACACACACACACACACACACACACACACACACACACACACACACACACACACACACACACACACAGUCUUUCCAACUUAGGUUCAUACACACACAGUGGCGCUAGGUUCACACACACAGUGGCGCUAGGUUCACACACACAGUGGCGCUAGGUUCAUACACACAGUGGCGCUAGGUUCACACACACAGUGGCGCUAGGUUCAUACACACAGUGGCACUAGGUUCACACACACAGUGGCACUAGGUUCACACACACAGUGGCGCUAGGUUCACACACACAGUGGCACUAGGUUCACAC